rnacentral:ribozyme from 11 species
AAAAAGCAAAUAAUUUAACAGUAGAUCCUAGAAGUAUAAGCAUGUUUCGUGUUCUCGUCUUUGUGUUGUAUCUUUUUCUUCUUCUUU